UUGCAAAAAAUUAUUCAGUUCACUAUCAGUCAGACCUACGAUUUAAUUAUUGAAAUAUAAAAGCUACUUUUCUGAAAAUUUUCAUUUCUUAUAACUUUUUUGGUCUAAACAUAUAUUGUUUAUUUUUUUUAAUUAUGCGCAUGUCUCUUUAUAUAUAUCCAUAAAUUCGGUCACUCUGCAAUAUUGACACUUUUAUUCAAGUAAAAAAUAUGGUUAUUUCUGCAAAACUCUUUUUACUAAGUAACUUACUUAUUGUUUAUUAUUUUUGACAUAUAACACAUUAUAUUGACAUACAACGCGACUAUAUAACACAUUAUGGUUCUUUGAAGCAUGAUACCCCAACAACUGGUCCUCUCUUUCUUUGUCAUAUAAACGUUGGCCCCUCCCAACUCACCAGACUUGAGUACACAUGAUCAUUUUUGAUUUUUUUAAAGAAUUUCUUUAUGGCUCUUCACAGACAAGACCUAUAGGUUCCAAACUGGUCCCCACGGACCGUGUUUAGUCGCUUUGACCCAGUUUAGUCGCUUUGCUCCUAUACUUUUGGUCCCUAUACUAAUACUUGUAUGAAGUAUUAGUAUAGGGAUUUUCAAUUUUAGUUUCUAAAAUAUUAAUAACAUUUACUUUUAAAUACAUGACUGGCCAACAAGUACUUUUAACAUCAUAAUAAAAGUUAUCAUAAUUUGCUUUGAUAAUGACAAACUAUGAUUGUCUUACAGCUUUAGCUGCAGUACCACUUGCCAUUAAUAGCAACUUAAGUAAAUAAAAGGCUCAAACAAAAGUACUCAAACAGCUAAAAAUGCUAAAGUACAAAAAGCCCAAACACACUAUAAGCUGCUAAACAAUGUUCAAGUUAUGUUGCGCUAAAACAAUAAUCCAAUCAGGUACAUUAAAUACUAAUUUUAUUUUUGGCCGGUUGGUCAAUGUUAUUAAGGAUAUUUAUGUCUAAUAUAUGAGCAUACUUAUCCUAUAAUUUUGCAGUCUGUUUAAUCUUAAAUGUUGUUAUUCUUAUAUUAUAUUGUAUUAUCUAAGGGGCAAAAAAAAAUAUAGAAAAAUACUUAAAAACAGAAUUUAAAAAAUAUUCUCAUAAUGUUAAUACUUGAGCAAUUAACAAAAAAAAAACAAUAAUAUUAUACAUAUAAUGGUCAACAAAUUACAAAACAAUUACAAUAAUAAUCGGCAGAAUUCACGUAUAGUACAAAGGCUAAUACAUAAAUGAGUACCUACACAAGUAGCUAAAAAAACGCUAAAAUAAAAGGUACUAAAAGCCUCAAAACAAUACAAAAAUUACUGGAAAUUGCCGGUUUUAUUUUUUAUACAAUUACGUUCAUAUUUAUGUAGGAAUUUUUUUUGAGUUGACCAAUCUGAUAAUAUUAUUAAUUUGUCCUAUAAAUCUUAAAAAUGAGAAACCUUAGAAAAAAAUUGGCACUAAGAGUAUUAACAAAUUAAGUAUUAUUAGUCAAGACAUUUCAUCAUGAUAUUAUUAAUAAAGGCAUACUUUUGUUAUUUUUAAUAUCUCUCUAAAGAAAGAAUUAAAAUAUAUUUUUAUUUCAACAAAUAAAAAUAUAUUUUGGCAAAUGUUGACUAGUUGGCCCCGCAGCAACAUUUGUCUAUUGCUUUAGAGAAAUUAAUCAUUUCUUGGAUAAUACUGAUGAGUCCAUAAUGAGGACGAAACAAUACGUUGCUCAUCAUAGUCUCAUAACUUUUUAUUUAGGAACCAUUUACAUCAUGAUCAACCACUUGCUACCAAAUAUAUUAUAAUUUAAAGGAAAAACAUUCAAAGGACUCAAAAAUGGGCAAGAGGAUUCAUCCAAUUGCGACAGGAUUUAAUGCACAGGAAUAAGAAAAUAAUUACACAUUCGAGGGUAGAUGAAUUUGGUAAGAUACCAUUAAUAGCAACUUUCUUGGCGAUUAAGAACAACUAGUUAUCUGAAGCCAACACCAUACCAAGGGUCGUGUCCUACUAAGUCGUUGUUCACCGGUCCCAAGGAACUCACGUCCACAAGAUAUUCGAGAACCGCAAACAGAAUUAAAUUCAUAAAAAUAUAAGAUAGAGAAGGACCAUUCAACUUGGCUUAUUGACUGAAGACCGUUUUUUACUGAGAACGCCUACUGUACAAUAAUUGAGCUCACGGUACAGUUUCUCCGGGAGAACGUAGACCAGAAAAUGUUCCAAAAUAUAACACAUGUAUGUAGUAUAGACGUAUAAAUAUAUGCAUUUGAAAUAAAACGUUUAAUUAUUCAAUUUUUAUGAUAUAUUAAUUUAUGAAUUAUACUAAUUCUAUGAUUAAAUUAAUUAACUUAAAAAAUAUUUAAAAAUAAAUAAAAUAA